UAGUGUCUCCGGGGAGCACAACCUUGAGGGCAGGCCCAGCUGACACCAAUCUGGUGGAACACUGGCAGAACAAUCAGCUAUUGAGUUUGGAGACAGAACUGCACUCCAGAGAAACGAGUUCAGACAAGAGAUGUGUGAAAACUGCAUUGUGGCCAGCGAAACAAACAAGAGUUUUGUGACUCAUUUUCAAGAAAAGGCUGUGGGAUUGGUCAUCUUCAAACAAGUUGAUGCUCACUUUUCGAGAACCUGGUUUUGAGUGCCAUCUUAACUUAUAGAUGUGUUGUCUGGAGUGGCCUGGAGCUUCUUCUUUGCUCGCAUCUAAUCUAAGAAAUUUGCCAGUAAAUCAACUGACUAAUGUAAGAGACAAAAAGGAGGUAGAGAAGGGCGAGUGCAGUAGUCAGUUAAGAAAGGGUGAAAUCUCAGCUUGUUAUGGACAGAGUUUGACAUUAGUCUUGUUACUACACUAAGAAUUUCAUGGCCAUGCAAUCAUGUCACCCAGGGUAAACCUUGAUGUAAAUAUGUUUUCCACCUAAUGAAACUAAAGAUGAUGGAAAAGUGAGAAAAUAAAAUGUUCUAUACUAUUCAAUAAAAGGUUUAAUCAACA